UACGUAGGGGGCAAGCGUUGUCCGGAAUCAUUGGGCGUAAAGAGCGUGUAGGCGGCCCGGUAAGUCCGCUGUGAAAGUCCAGGGCUCAACCCUGGGAUGCCGGUGGAUACUGUCGGGCUCGAGUCCGGAAGAGGAGUGUGGAAUUCCUGGUGUAGCGGUGAAAUGCGCAGAUAUCAGGAGGAGCACCGGUGGCGAAGGCGGGUCUCUGGGCCGAUGACUGACGCUGAGGAGCGAAAGCGUGGGGAGCGAACAGGA
rnacentral:rRNA from 1 species